rnacentral:misc_RNA from 1 species
GUAGGUGCAUGGUUCGCCUACCGGUGCCCCGCAGCGACUCUAAACAAGUGCCCAGUCGGCGACUCGAUCGCUGGCAACGCUACCAAUCUGCGCUGGGAGCGCCCGACCGCGGGCGUGACCAGCAGCUCCCCUGGAGUUCACAGGUCAAACGGUUGCGGCCACCCCCCGGGUGGUUCUGAUAUGAUCGGCCCUAGCCGUCGCACCACGGCUGGCGAAGUUUGUGGAACCUGCGGAAGGAUCAUUACCGAGAGGGGGGCUCACGCGCCCCAGGGGUUCUGCCCCGUACCUUUCCACCCUCUGUGUAUCUUCCACUGUUGCUUUGGCGGGCCCCGGGCUUCACCUCCCGGCGCUGGCCCCCUGUUAGGGGGUCCGCGAGCGCCCGCCGAAGGCCUAUCAAAAACCUGUUUAUCAGUGCAGUCUGAGUAAUACGAAAAUAAAUCAAAACUUUCAACAACGGAUCUCUUGGUUCUG